AGUGAACGCUGGCGGUAGGCCUAACACAUGCAAGUCGAACGGCAGCACAGUAAGAGCUUGCUCUUACGGGUGGCGAGUGGCGGACGGGUGAGGAAUACAUCGGAAUCUACUUUUUCGUGGGGGAUAACGUAGGGAAACUUACGCUAAUACCGCAUACGACCUACGGGUGAAAGCAGGGGAUCUUCGGACCUUGCGCGAUUGAAUGAGCCGAUGUCGGAUUAGCUAGUUGGCGGGGUAAAGGCCCACCAAGGCGACGAUCCGUAGCUGGUCUGAGAGGAUGAUCAGCCACACUGGAACUGAGACACGGUCCAGACUCCUACGGGAGGCAGCAGUUGGGAAUAUUGGACGAUGGGCGCAAGCCUGAUCCAGCCAUACCGCGUGGGUGAAGAAGGCCUUCGGGUUGUAAAGCCCUUUUGUUGGGAAAGAAAAGCAGCAGGUUAAUACCCCGCUGUUCUGACGGUACCCAAAGAAUAAGCACCGGCUAACUUCGUG
rnacentral:rRNA from 1 species